GAAAAAAGUGUGUUGGGCAUGGAGGCUCAUGCCUGUAGUCCCUGCUACUCAGGAGGCUGAGGGUUUAUGUGACUUUGGACAUUAAUGUCACCUCCCAGCCUGUUGUCAUGAACCCCACUCAUCACAGUGGCUGUGGGGUCAGUGGUGCCCAGGACACGGGAGGCUCAGCCGUGGUGAAUUUCCAGACCAGUUCAGACCGGAGGGUGGGACGGGAGAGGAUCCUGGUGUCGGGUUCCACAGUCCAGGAGGAUGAUUGACGCCCCCACUCAAGAGCUGACAUCGGCUGCAAAUACCAAGAAGUGCUGCUUGUGAUACGUCUGAAAUAUGCGGAUCACCACAGCCACAGGCCCAGAAAGAGAAAGAAAAAUUCCCAACAUUGAGACGCAUCCCCUGCAAUGAACAGAGCUCAGAGCUGAGUGGCCACAGGUGUCCGGGACCACCCAGGGUCACUAGGGAGGAGGAGGUUCCCACCUCCGUGUGGGACAGAAGAGGAACCCCAGGUCCUCGCAGGCAGGGAGGGGUCAGGGCUCUGGGUGGGGCUGGACGCUGUGGCUCCCCCUCCCCUGUGUGUGUCUCUGCUCACUCACUGGAGUCCACGCUCAGCUCUCAGCCCCUCCCUGUGUGUGAGAAACAGAUUCAAUCCGUGGUGCUCAGACAUGGGCGUCUGCCCCACAGGUGAGUGUGAGGCUGGCAUUGGUCCCAUCCCUGCCGGGCACAAUCUUGAGCUGACGCUAAGUUUGGGAGAGUGGGGCAGGAGCAGCGGCAACGAUCCCCUUCAUCAGGCUGAUGCCUGGACAGCCGUGGGAGAAACCCUUUAUGAAAGGCCAGGUGCGCGGGAGGAGGGCCGCCCCGCAGGAAUGACAACCAUAUGAGGAAAGUUGUCGAAAUGCAUUAGGUAGACAUUGUGAAGCUGAAAAGCUAUAUUAAAUUAACACCAUUAAAAAGGAA